UACGUAGGGAGCAAGCGUUGUUCGGAUUUACUGGGCGUAAAGGGCGCGUAGGCGGCCAGCACAAGUCAGUUGUGAAAUCUCCGAGCUUAACUCGGAAAGGUCAACUGAUACUGUGCGGCUAGAGUGCGGAAGGGGCAACUGGAAUUCUUGGUGUAGCGGUGAAAUGCGUAGAUAUCAAGAGGAACACCUGCGGCGAAGGCGGGUUGCUGGGCCGACACUGACGCUGAGGCGCGAAAGCGUGGGGAGCGAACAGG
rnacentral:rRNA from 1 species